AGGCGCGAAACCUUUACAAUGCGCGCAAGCGUGAUAAGGGAACCCUAAGUGCUUAUGCUAUGCAUAGGCUUUUGCCAAGAGUAAAUAUCUUGGCGAAUAAGUGGGGGGUAAGACUGGUGCCAGCAGCCGCGGUAACACCAGCGCCACGAGUGGCAAUCAUCAUUAUUGGGUCUAAAGCGUUCGUAGCCGGUUUGGUCAGUCUUUUGUGAAAUUGUUGCCCUUAAUGCAACAACGUGCAAAAGAUACUGCCAGACUAGGGACCGGGAGGAGUAAGGAGUAUGCAUGGGGGAGCGGUAAAAUGCUAUAAUCCCUUGUAGACUGCCUGUGGCGAAAGCGCCUUACUAGAACGGCUCCGACGGUGAGGAACGAAAGCUGGGGGAGCAAAACGGAUUAGAUACCCGUGUAGUCCCAGCUGUAAACGCUGUGAGCAAGAUGUUGCAUAUUCCUCGAGAAUGUGCAGUGUCGAAGAGAAGUCAUUAAGCUCACCACCUGGGGAGUAUGGUCGCAAGGCUGAAACUUAAAGGAAUUGGCGGGGGAGCACCACAAGGGGUGCGGCGUGCGGUUUAAUCUAAUUCAACACAGAGAAUCUCACCAGCAGCGACGGCAGGAUGAAGAUCAGUUUGAAGGGCUUAUCUGACGAGCCGAGAGGUAGUGCAUGGCCGCCGUCAGCUCGUGCUGUAAAGUGUCCUGUUAAGUCAGGCAACGAGCAAGACCUGCAUCUACAAUUGCUAACGACUCUUUUGGGAGAAUCGAGCACAUUGUAGGGACUGCCUUCGAAAGGAGGAGGAAGGUGCAGGCUACGGUAGGUCUGUAUGCUCCGAAUCUGCUGGGCUACACGCGCGCAACAAUGGUAAGGACAAAAGGAUGCAACUCUGAAAAGAGGAGCUAAACCCCAAAACCUUAUCUUAGUCUAGAUUGGGGAUUGUAACUCAUCCUCAUGACACCGGAAUCCCUAGUAAUCAGAUGUUAUCAGCGUCUGGUGAAUAUGU
rnacentral:rRNA from 1 species